GACGAACGCUGGCGGUGUGCUUAACACAUGCAAGUCGAACGGCAGGGUCCUGCUUUUGUGGGGUGACCGAGUGGCGACCGGGUGCGUAACACGAGAGUAACCUGCACUUGCCUUUGGGAUGACUUCAAGCCACUGGGGCUAAUACCGGAUCGGAGCUCCUGCUGCCUGGUGGGGGUUGGAAAGUUUCGGCGGAGUGGGAUGGACUCGAGGCUUAUGAGCUGGUUGGUGGGGUGGUGGCUUACCAAGGCUUUAGCGGGUGGCCGGCCCGAGAGGGUGACCGGCCACAGUGGGACUGUGAUACGGCCCAGAGUCCUACGGGAGGCAGCAGUGGGGAAGAGUGCACGAUGGGCGGAAGUCUGAUGCAGCAACGCCGCGUUCGGGAUGACGGCCUUCUGGUUGUAGACCGCUUCCGCCGGUAACGAUGCGUGAGUGACGGUAAUGGGUAAAUAAGCACCGGCUAACUACGUG
rnacentral:rRNA from 1 species